rnacentral:lncRNA from 1 species
CAUGAAAAUGUCCAUCUAACGAGUAGUUCACUGUGCACUAACGAGGUACAGUUUCAUUGUACAUUCCCGCUUCUGUCACGACUCACACAAACAACACCACAACAGAUUACAGCCAGGAACACGGUAUUUUGUGACUCAUGCUCUUUUUGUUCCUCCCUCACAGCCAAACCAGAAGUCAAAUCUGUGGACAAAAAAGAAGACAAAGUGAAAGAGGAGCGGUCCACCGCCGAGAGUAAACCCGACACAGAGGAGAAGGCAGAAGCUAAAGAGGCACCAAAAAAAGACGCCAACGUGUCUGCCCCCGCGAAAGAGCCUGAGAACACUCAGAGUGGAGAAGAGCAGAAGAAGCCAGGCAAGAUCCCCUACUUCCAGUGUGUGGUGUACGGCGGCAAAUCCAAACAAGCCCCUUGGCGUUCCACCGGUCCCAACAUGACCCCAGCCAUGACCACAGCCAUGAGAGCGGCCAUGGAGCAGAGGGCCUCUCUCAUGGAGGCCAGAGCCAGGGCUGCAGGCCAGUAGGAACCACAUCCACCAUCACCCUUCACCUCAAGCCCUGGAACUUUUCUACUCCAUAGCAACAGGUGGCACUGCUCCUCUGCACCUCUCCACACUGACUGUGUAUCCUGACAAAGGCUGGUUUCUGCCAGUGGGUUCUCUUAUACUCUGAUCUCGAUCAAUAUACAAUGCAUUAAGGGACUUAUCGGAGGGUGGAAUGAUUAUAUAUGUGAUAUUUCAAAUGAGUGGUUUUGCUGCCUGUAUUCAAGAGUCGAAAAAAUUCCCAGUCUUUAUAGGCACUGGCUUUGGUGUAUUUAUUUAUUUAAACUUUGUCACAGACAUGGCUGUCAGAUUUUGCACCAACCAGUGUUACAAUGGUCCCACCUAGCUGUAUAUAAAGGGAUGUAAAAAGGAAAUAUUGCAAACCAGUUAAGAUAUUUUUCUAAUUUAUUCAGAUAUUUUCAAUGAAGCGUUUCUCUUUUUGAAUAGUACAGAUUGUGAAUGCACAUGUCAUAAUGUAUAUAACAUGCACAAAUCUUAAUAUAUCAACUGGCAGUUUACAUUUGUAUUAACUUUACACAAAAUUGUAGUCGAGGACUUUGAGUCGAAUUGAAACUUAAUAGACUUUCAUGUUUGAUAGUUUGACAAUAAGCAUUGUAUCACUUUUUCUCUCUCUCACACACACACACUCACACACACACAGAGUUCUUGGCUCCCAUCCCUUGCUUAGCUCCACUGGUAAUGGGAUUAUGUAAAGUGUGUCUGUGUGUUUCAGCUCUGAUAUGACACAGGCAGCCCAGCUGCAUGCAUCUGGACAAAAGCAAGAAGUCCCAUUUCAGCCUCGCUCCCUGGUUGACACAGAUUUCACUGCCAUACUUUUCAACAAUUUGAAGUGCUCAAACGGCCCUCUGCUUGAUUUGGGACUAAUAAAAGAUUAAAUUAGACGAGAAAUUAUAAAAAA